UUCCGGUUGAUCCCGCCGGACCUGACUGCUAUCGGAUUGAUACUAAGCCAUGCAAGUCUUUGUAGUAAUACAAGGCAUACGGCUCAGUAACACGUAGUCAACUUAACCUAUGGAUGGGUAUAACCUCGGGAAACUGAGAAUAAUUCCCAAUAGAUCAUUUAUCCUGGAAUGGUUGAUGAUUGAAAUGAUUCGUCGCCAUAGGAUGGGACUGCGGCCUAUCAGCUUGUUGGUGAGGUAAAGGCCCACCAAGGCUAUUACAGGUACGGGCUCUGAGAGGAGAAGCCCGGAGAUGGGUACUGAGACACGGACCCAGGCCCUAUGGGGCGCAGCAGGCGAGAAAACUUUGCAAUGUGCGAAAGCACGACAAGGUUAAUCCGAGUGAUUUCUGCUAAAGAAAUCUUUUGCCAGUUCUAAAAAUACUGGUGAAUAAGGGGUGGGCAAGUUCUGGUGUCAGCCGCCGCGGUAAAACCAGCACCUCAAGUUGUCAGGAGGAUUAUUGGGCCUAAAGCAUCCGUAGCCGGCUCUGUUAGUUUUCGGUUAAAUCCAUAUGCUCAACAUAUGGGCUGUCGGAAAUACUGCAGAGCUAGGGAAUGGGAGAGGUAGACGGUACUCGGUAGGAAGGGGUAAAAUCCUUUGAUCUAUCGAUGACCACCUGUGGCGAAGGCGGUCUACCAGAACAUGUUCGACGGUGAGGGAUGAAAGCUGGGGGAGCAAACCGGAUUAGAUACCCGGGUAGUCCCAGCUGUAAACGAUGCAGACUAGAUGAUGCAUUAGCAUAUAGCCAGUGCAGUGUCGCAGGGAAGCCGUUAAGUCUGCCGCCUGGGAAGUACGUACGCAAGUAUGAAACUUAAAGGAAUUGGCGGGGGAGCACCACAAGGGGUGAAGCCUGCGGUUCAAUUGGAGUCAACGCCGG
rnacentral:rRNA from 1 species